rnacentral:rRNA from 1 species
UACGAAGGGGGCUAGCGUUGUUCGGAUUUACUGGGCGUAAAGCGCACGUAGGCGGAUUGUUAAGUGAGGGGUGAAAUCCUGGAGCUCAACUCCAGAACUGCCUUUCAUACUGGCAAUCUAGAGUCCGGAAGAGGUAAGUGGAACUCCUAGUGUAGAGGUGGAAUUCGUAGAUAUUAGGAAGAACACCAGUGGCGAAGGCGGCUACUGGUCCGGUACUGACGCUGAGGUGCGAAAGCGUGGGGAGCAAACAGG